UGUACAGGUGUGUGUACAGAGCAUGUGCGCAUGCAUGUGCACGCAUACACACGCACAUACACACACAUACCCCAGAGAUAUCU
rnacentral:miRNA from 1 species